CUGAUUGACGUGCUUGCACUGAAUUGACGUUGGAUUACCAGUGAGCGGCGGACGGGUGAGUAACACGUGGGCAACCUGCCCUGAAGNGGGGGAUAACAUCUGGAAACAGGUGCUAAUACCGCAUAACAACGAAAACCACAUGGUUUUCGUUUCAAAGAUGGUUUCGGCUAUCACUUCAGGAUGGGCCCGCGGUGCAUUAGCUAGUUGGUAAGGUAACGGCUUACCAAGGCAAUGAUGCAUAGCCGAGUUGAGAGACUGAUCGGCCACAAUGGAACUGAGACACGGUCCAUACUCCUACGGGAGGCAGCAGUAGGGAAUCUUCCACAAUGGGCGCAAGCCUGAUGGAGCAACACCGCGUGAGUGAAGAAGGGUUUCGGCUCGUAAAGCUCUGUUGUUGGAGAAGAACGUGCGUGAGAGUAACUGUUCACGCAGUGACGGUAUCCAACCAGAAAGUCACGGCUAACUACGUGCCAGCAGGCCGCGGUUAUUACAA
rnacentral:rRNA from 2 species